UACGUAGGUGGCAAGCGCUAUCCGGAUUUAUUGGGCGUAAAGAGAACGCAGGCGGUCUUUUAAGUCUGAUGUGAAAGCCUUCGGCUUAACCGGAGUAGUGCAUUGGAAACUGGGAGACUUGAGUGCAGAAGAGGAGAGUGGAACUCCAUGUGUAGCGGUGAAAUGCGUAGAUAUAUGGAAGAACACCAGUGGCGAAAGCGGCUCUCUGGUCUGUAACUGACGCUGAGGUUCGAAAGCGUGGGUAGCAAACAGG
rnacentral:rRNA from 1 species